UACGGAGGGUGCGAGCGUUGUCCGGAAUCACUGGGCGUAAAGGGCGCGUAGGUGGCGUCGCAAGUCAACGGUGAAAGCUCGACGCUCAACGUCGAGUCGGCCGUCGAGACUGCGAGGCUUGAGCACUGUAGAGGCAGAUGGAAUUCCGGGUGUAGCGGUGGAAUGCGUAGAGAUCCGGAAGAACACCGGUGGCGAAGGCGGUCUGCUGGGCAGUUGCUGACACUGAGGCGCGACAGCGUGGGGAGCGAACAGG
rnacentral:rRNA from 1 species